rnacentral:rRNA from 1 species
AACGAACGCUGGCGGCAUGCCUAACACAUGCAAGUCGAACGAGACCUUCGGGUCUAGUGGCGCACGGGUGCGUAACGCGUGGGAACCUGCCCUUAGGUUCGGAAUAACUCCCCGAAAGGGGUGCUAAUACCGGAUAAUGUCUUCGGACCAAAGAUUUAUCGCCUUUGGAUGGGCCCGCGUUGGAUUAGCUAGUUGGUAGGGUAAAAGCCUACCAAGGCGACGAUUCAUAGCUGGUCUGAGAGGAUGAUCAGCCACACUGGGACUGAGACACGGCCCAGACUCCUACGGGAGGCAGCAGUGGGGAAUAUUGGACAAUGGGCGAAAGCCUGAUCCAGCAAUGCCGCGUGAGUGAUGAAGGCCUUAGGGUUGUAAAGCUCUUUUACCCGGGAUGAUAAUGGCAGUACCGGGAGAAUAAGCUCCGGCUAACUCCGUG